rnacentral:rRNA from 1 species
UACGAAGGGUGCAAACGUUGCUCGGAAUUAUUGGGCGUAAAGCGCACGUAGGCGGCAUCGCAAGUCGGAUGUGAAAUCCCACGGCUUAACCGGGGAACUGCGUCUGAUACUGGAUGGCUGGAGUGUGGGAGAGGGAUGCGGAAUUCCAGGUGUAGCGGUGAAAUGCGUAGAUAUCUGGAGGAACACCGGUGGCGAAGGCGGCAUCCUGGACCAUUACUGACACUGAAAAGCGAAAGCCAGGGGAGCAAACGGG